GACGAACGCUGGCGGCGUGCUUAACACAUGCAAGUCGAGCGGAAAGGCCCUUCGGGGUACUCGAGCGGCGAACGGGUGAGUAACACGUGAGUAACCUGCCCCAGACUUUGGGAUAACCCUCGGAAACGGGGGCUAAUACCGGAUACGACACAGCUUCGCAUGGGGUCUGUGUGGAAAGUUUUUCGGUUUGGGAUGGGCUCGCGGCCUAUCAGCUUGUUGGUGGGGUGAUGGCCUACCUAGGCGACGACGGGUAGCCGGCCUGAGAGGGCGACCGGCCACACUGGGACUGAGACACGGCCCAGACUCCUACGGGAGGCAGCAGUGGGGAAUAUUGCACAAUGGGCGGAAGCCUGAUGCAGCGACGCCGCGUGAGGGAUGACGGCCUUCGGGUUGUAAACCUCUUUCAGCAGGGACGAAGCGUAAGUGACGGUACCUGCAGAAGAAGCGCCGGCCAACUACGUG
rnacentral:rRNA from 1 species